rnacentral:rRNA from 1 species
UACGUAGGCAGCGAGCGUUGUUCGGAGUUACUGGGCGUAAAGGGUGCGUAGGCGGUUGUUUAAGUUUGGUGUGAAAUCUCCCGGCUCAACUGGGAGGUGCGCCGAAUACUGAAUAACUAGAGUGCGGGAGAGGAGAGUGGAAUUCCUGGUGUAGCGGUGAAAUGCGUAGAUAUCAGGAGGAACACCGGUGGUGUAGACGGCUCUCUGGACCGUAACUGACGCUGAGGCACGAAAGCGUGGUAGCAAACAGG